rnacentral:lncRNA from 1 species
UAUCGCCAUCCAACUGCAUAUUUUUGAAGUAACUCUAGCCCUUCGGAUUCAACUAAGCUGAUUAAUGUAGAGAGUGUUGUAUAUAAAUUGUAAAUUUGAAGCAGCUACACGUAUUAUUAACUUAGUUACUAUAACUGAAGUUUGCACAUUCAAUAUGUAAUUCAUCCUUUGCUCUAUGAAUGUAGUAUAAUUAAGCCAA